CCUUUUCUUUCCUUCCUGACCAGAGAAGCUCUGCAGCAUCGCUCCGUUGGGCUUAGAAUAUUUUCCUGAUAACGGCUGGACUUCUACUGGCUGUUCUGGCGGCAGCUCUCAGUGUUCAGACGACGAUGAUGCUUCUUCUUCUUCUUCCUGUUCUCUGAGCCGGAGCUUCACUUUAAACCCACAGGAAAACUUCUUCUGGAUGUGUGAGGAUCAUGCUGCUGCUGCUGCUGUUGGUCUGUCUGCAGACGUCUGUCCAGGAGCAGACUCCGCCCCCUGGUCGCUGUGACUUCCUUCAGAGGGAGGAAGUUCAUUCCAGCUGCACUUCCUGUGCCGCCGACGGCCGCUGUCCCCGAGGGUUCAGCAGCGUAGGAACCAUGAACUGCAGUUACCUGGUCCAGGUGGGCAGCAGGGAUCUCCAGCUUCAUGGAUGUCAGCUCGUCUGUGUGAGGAACUUCAUGUCUCCUCAUUGCUGCCCUCAACACUGGGGGGCGCUGUGCCUCCCUUGUCCCAGCUGGUCGGGAAAAACCUGCAACUUCCACGGAGUCUGUUCUGACGGAGACGUCGGCAAUGGAAGCUGCAUCUGUGAUGACGGGUUCUCUGGGUUCUCGUGUCAGAACUGUAAGAAUCCAAAGGCCUACGGAGAGAAGUGUGAUAAAGUGUGUGAUUGUGAACAUGGAGUGUGUAAUGCAGGUCCAGAGGGUGAUGGUCAGUGUCUGUGUCAGUCUCCGUACACCGGGAGGCGCUGUGACCACGUGAGCAGCGGCUGCAGGGGCUGUCCUCUCUACUCGUUCUGUAAAGGCGACGGAGACGCUGCUUCCUGUGAAUGUCUGCCCGGAUAUCGGAGAACCAACGUGAACAAAUGCAGCAGUGUGUGUUCUCAGAGGGACUGCGACGUCAACGCUCAGUGUUCCUCUCAGGGAUCCCGGAUCAGCUGCGUUUGUAAACCCGACUACGAGGGCGACGGCCGGGUCUGCUUUCCCAGGAACCCCUGCAGUGACAACAACGGCGGCUGUCCGUCCAACUCCACCGUCUGCGUCUUCAGGGGACCCAACAAGUCCAGCUGCGAGUGCAUGGCCGGCAUGUCUCCAAUAGGAGGCAGUGCUGAGUCGGGCUGCCGGCUGAUCUCCGCCUGCUCAGCUGAUACCUGUGACUCCAGCGCCACCUGCAAGACCGAACUGGACGGACGACCGAGGUGUGUGUGUGAGGCGAAUGAGAUUGGUGAUGGACGGCGUUGUUAUGGCAACCUGAUGGAGCGUCUGAUGGAGUUGGACCGAAGCGGCAGCCAGAGGGAGAACCUGACCGGAGCAGUGGCACUGUUCGAAAAAGGAUGUUCACUGCUGCUGAGCCACAACGGACCGUUUACCGCCUUCAUCCCGCAGCUGAAGACGCCGCUGACGGGCAUUAACGAGGAGCUAAUGUGUAAAAACCACCUGAUCCUGGGUCAGUUCCUCUACGCCGACCUGCAGGGGCGAGACUUCAACAUGUAUGGAGGGGCCAAGCUGAGGACCAAAGACCACCAGAGGUUCAUCCUGAUGGAGGAACCCAGCAGGUUCUACUCUGUCAUCCUGCGGGACCUGCCGGCAGCCAAUGGCAUCAUUCACAUCAUAGACCGGCCAAUCAGCAGCUCGCAGUCGGACAGGGCGGCUCGAGAUGAACAGUUUGCUGAUUUGACGGUCGGAGAGAUUCUGUCUAAAGAUGGAAAAUUCAACCGUUUCCUUUCUCUGGUGGACAACUGUGGGUCGCCUCCUCCUCUGAGGGGUCCGGGUCCAAUCACGGUCUUUGUCCCAACCAACCAGGCGAUAGACCGAGCCCGAGACGGCAGCAUCCUGUACAUGCUGCAUGACGCCAAACACAAACUCCAGGAGCUGCUCAGACAUCAUGUUUUCCCUCAGGCUGUGCUGACGGUGGAUGAUCUCAGCGCUCUGCCUCGCAUCCAGACAAUGGCUAAUCAGAUGAUCAGCAUCAGCGUGUCGAAUGAUGGUCAGAUCUUAUUGGGCGAUAAACGGAUCCAGCUGGCGAGCACCAACAUCAUGGCAUCCAAUGGGAUCAUCCACAUGAUUGACGGGCUGCUGGUCCCGCCCUCCAUCCUGCCCAUCCUCCCCCACCACUGUGAUGUCACCGAGAGCAAGAUCACCGUGGGUCCUUGUGUCCACUGCAGUUACCUCUAUGAGACUCAAUGUCCCGACGGCACUGUUGAAAUGGACAGCCAUCAAAUCGGCUGUGAAUACGUCACGUCUCCUCUUCGCUCCUCACUCAGUAAAGGCUGCGCUAAGUUCUGCAAUGCAACCAAACAGGUGGUGGAGUGCUGCAGAGGAUUCUACGGUCCCGACUGUAAACCCUGCAUCGGAGGCUUUCAGCAUCCCUGCUACGACAAAGGAACCUGCUUUGACGGUAUCCAUGGUAACGGGUCGUGCAGCUGCCAGCCGGGUCUCAGCGGCAUCGCCUGCCACAUCUGCUCCGAUCCCAACAAACACGGAGAACGCUGCGACGAAGGUACCGGCAGAACCUAAACCUGACAGAACAGAGCCUGGUGACACACUGUCCGAUCCAGAAGAACUUCAGGUUCUGGUUCCUUUCAAGUGUCGUUGUGUUCACGGAGUGUGUGACAACCGUCCCGGCAGCGGAGGAAUAUGUCGCAGAGGAUCCUGUCUAGACGGAUUUUCCGGAGAUUUCUGCGACAAAACAGCGACACCAUGCAACUCUGACG